rnacentral:rRNA from 1 species
UACGGGGGGGGCAAGCGUUGUUCGGAAUUACUGGGCGUAAAGGGCUCGUAGGUGGCCAACUAAGUCAGACGUGAAAUCCCUCGGCUUAACCGGGGAACUGCGUCUGAUACUGGAUGGCUUGAGUUUGGGAGAGGGACGCGGAAUUCCCGGUGUAGAGGUGAAAUUCGUAGAUAUCGGGAGGAACACCAGUGGCGAAGGCGGCGAUCUGGGAAGAUACUGACGCUGAGGUGCGAAAGCGUGGGGAGCAAACAGG